rnacentral:rRNA from 1 species
UACGUAGGGGGCAAGCGUUGUCCGGAUUUAUUGGGCGUAAAGAGCUCGUAGGCGGCUUAGUAAGUCGGGUGUGAAACCUCCAGGCUCAACCUGGAGACGCCACCCGAUACUGCUGUGGCUAGAGUCCGGUAGGGGAGCGUGGAAUUCCUGGUGUAGCGGUGGAAUGCGCAGAUAUCAGGAGGAACACCAAUAGCGAAGGCAGCUCGCUGGGACGGUACUGACGCUAAGGCGCGAAAGCGUGGGGAGCGAACAGG